UUUUUUUUUUUUCUAUGACUUAGCAACAGUAUUAAGUGACAGUUGAGAAUCACUGAACAAUAUUCAAAGUUCUGCUGAAUGUUCUGCUUUGUAAGUGGGUGACGUGAGGGGUACUGGGGGAUAUAUCAAGAUAGCCCAAUCACUUUUUAAAUGGACAAUGCCAAAUUAAAUUUAAAACAACAUCCUACCGUUGGGCCUGUAUUUACUUUUUGGUAGAUUAGAAGGUGAUUAUUUACUUUCGGAAAACAUUUAGCGUUGCAUUUAACGUAUGGUUUUGAUUUUCAUGAAAAAUUUUAAGAAUUUAUCCAUUGUAUGAAAAUACAAUGAUUGGCAUAAAAGUUAAAAAAAAAAAAAAGAUAAAGGAAGCCUGUCAUUUGCCAAGGACAUAAGGUGAAGAAUAAAUAUGCACUUGAGAUAUACAUACUCCAAGCCUAUAGAAAACACAGGUGUACUGAUGGGAUUCUACUAUUUGUGUAGAAAUCCUAUCCAAGAAGACUUAGGAGCAGAAAUUAAAACAAGACAAUUCUUUACAGACUCUUCCAAAUUCCAGAGUAGAUAAGCCUCCUGCUGAAGCUUAUGACAUCAACAGAAAUAAAAUGAUAAGCUAUGUGCAUAAAUAAUCUACCAUAGGAGAGAGUCAUCAGGCACUAUAAACAAAAUAGUUAGCCCCCUAGGAGCUGGACCUAGUAGAACAAUCUAAAUCUAGUAGAACAGCCUAAAAGAAAUGUUUCAAAUAAUUAAGAAGUUUAAGGAAAUGGGGGGAGGAAGAAAUAUGACUCAUAGUGAGAGGAGAGUAUAGUACAGUAAAAUAAAAGACAGAUUUGAAAAAGAACUGAAUGGAAACACAGUCAAUAAGAUAAUUAAUAGAAAAAUAGAUGUGCUGCUGAGAAAAUUAGUGAAUUGGAAGAUAAAACUGAGAAAACUGUCUAAAAUAUAUCACAGAGAACAGAUGGCAAAUAUAAACAGACAGAAAAUAUGGAGGCUAGGUUGAGAAAAUCCAGCAGAUAUAAAAUCGGGCUGCUAUGCUACUCAGUUGUAAAUGCUACCAUUCACAAGGCAUCCAAUAUAAAUGGUGUUGCUUGUAUUUUUACAACAUGUCAUCCUUUAUUUAAUGGGAAUUCCAGAAAGAAAGAAUCAAGAAUGUAGGAUAAAAGGAUAAUUUUUAAAAAGAUAAUAGGGAAGAAAUUUCCAGAAUUGAAGAAAGAAACAAGUUCUCAGUUCUCUGACAGAAAAAAGUACACAAGAGUACUGGACAGUACAAAUAAAAAUAAAUUCACCCCUAAGCUAUUUGUGAGGAAAAUGAAAAACAUCAAAGACAAUGAAAAACAACCAGAAAUAAAAAAGAUUAACUGAAAAGUAAUAAGCAAUCAAAAUAACUGAAAGACUUUUUAUCAGCAAUGGUGCAGGCCAUAAAACAAUGAAAUCAUUAUCUUUAAAGUGCUGAGGCAACAGUUCUAUCAUUUAAAAUUUCUAAACAAAGAUGUGUUUUCACUCAACAAUAAAGUACAAUUUUUUCCACCCAAUGAAAGCUCACAGUGGACAGAGCAUCAUAACACAUUCUUAAGUAAAAGUCACACAAACAAAAGCAAAAAGUGCUCUUGUUUUAGGAAGGAGGAAAAGUGAAGUACCUAAUUCAAUUUAUAGUAAUAGUAUAUAAAACACUGGAACACUACCCAAGGAAUAAAUAUAAUGGGUUACCUGUGGAGGAAGGGAGGAAUUGAAUGGAUAAGGAUAGGAGAGCAAAACUUCUCACUGAUUAUACCAUUGAUUACCCCUUUAAUAUCUGUUUAAUGGGAAAAUUCCUAAAACAUAAAACCUACCAAGACCAAACCAUGAAGAAAGAGAAAAUCUUAACAGAACUGUAAAUAGAAAGGAGACUGAGUUAGUCACUAAAAACCUUUCAACAAAGAACAGUCCAAGACCAAAUGGUUUCAUCAGUGAGUUCUACCAAAUGUUGAAAGAAGAAUUAACACUACUCUUUCUCAAAUUCUUCCAAAAAGUGGUGGAAAAGAAGGAAACACUUCUUAAUUCAUUCCAUGAGGCCAGCAUUAUUCUGAUACCCAACCAAACCAAACACUAUAAGAAAACUAUGGACAAAUAUUCCUGAUGAAUAUUGAUACAAAAAUCCUCAACAAAAUAUGAGGCAACAGAACUCAAAUCAUAUUGUAAGGAUUUUAUCCUAGGACCAAGUGAGGUUUAUUUCUGGAGUGUAAAGACGACAGCUGCCAUAGGACCCCAUUAGUCCCCAACCACUCCAGGGACCUAGUGGGCUGACACCAGCUCCAGGACACCCUGGACCUCACAGUCAGCCAUGUCAGGAAUUGGCCCUGCACACCAGUAGGCUAACACUAGGCUUCAGGACCCUGGGCCUUGUAGCCAGCUACCCUAGGAACUGGUUCUCUACAUACCAGUGAGCCAGAACUAGCCCCAGGAUUCCCAGUGCUCCACAGCCAGAACCAGGGCUGGUACCAGAACCAGGACUUCCCAGGCUGUGCCAGGACCUGGCCUCACUCAUCAGAAGCUGGCAGUCUCUGUAUUAGGCAGGCAGUUGCAACAAGACGAGGGGCCAGUCACACCUUCCAGCAUGCCCACAGUAGUCAGUCCACCACAACAAAAGGGGCUAUGCAGCCCACGUAGAGGGCACUCUUAGUUCUGAUGACCAAAGGGGAGUGCACUGCUGGGCCCCAUAAGAUAUUUCCUACAUAAGGCCACCUCUCUAAGAUUGGGAAGUUUAAACAACCUGUCAAAUACAUAGAAAUAAAAACAGAGAAUUAGGAAAAAUGAGGCAACAGAGGGAUAUGUACCAAAUGAAGGAACACAAUAAAACCCCAGAACUAAGUGAAGGGGAGGUAAGCAAUCUACUCAUAAAGAUGCUCAAAGAACUCAAGACAAGAAUGGAUGAACCCAGUGAGGAGUUUAACAAAAGGAAAAUAGAAAAAAGAACCAAACAGAGCUAAAGCAUAGAGUAACAAAUGAAAAAUACACUAAAAGUAAUAAACAGGAGAUUAUGGAUCAGGAAACGAAAGGACCAGCAAACUGGAAGACAGAUAGUGGAAAUCACUCAAACCAAAAAGAAAAAAGAAAAAAAGAAUUUAAAAAAAAGAGUAAGAACAGGUUAAGAGACCUUCGGGAUAACAUCAAGCACACUAACUUUCACAUUAUAAAGGGUCCAGAAGGAGAAGAAAAUGGCAGAGAAUAUACUUGAAGACUUAACAGCUGAAAACUUCCCUAACCUGGGAAAAGAAAGCAGACACCCAGGUCCAGGAAGCACAGAGAGUCCCAAACAGGAUAAACCCAAAGAGGACCACACUGAGACACACCAUAAAUAAAAUGACAAAAAUUAAAGAGAGAAUCUUAAAAGCAGCAAGGGAAAAGCAACUAGUUAUGUACAAGGGAACUCCCACAAGUCUAUGAGCUGACUAUUUAGCAGAAACUCUGCAGGCCAUAAGGGAGUGGCACAAUAUAUUUAAAGUGAUGAAGGGGAAAAACCUACAACCAAAAAUACUCAACAAGGUUAUCAUUCAGAUCUGAUGAAGAGAUUGAGUAUUACCGACAAGCAAAAACUAAAAAGAGAGUUCAGUAUCACAAAAUCAGCUUUGCAAGAAAUGUUAAAGGAAUAUCUCUAGGCAGGAAAUAAAAAGCCACAACUAGAUAUAUAAAAAUCAUACAAGGAAAAAAUCUCAUUGGUAAAGGCAAAUAUAUAGUAAGGGUAGGAGAUAAACCACUUAUAACGAUGGAAGGAAGAUUAAAAGACAAAAGUUGUAAAAUAAUUUAUAGCCAUGAUAAGUAGUUAAGGGACAUAACACAGACAGACUAGGUAAAAUAUGAUGUCAAAAACACUAAACGUGGGAGUGAGGGGAAUAAAAAUGCAAGGUUGUUAAAAUGUGUUCACACAUCAAAUAUUUUUGAGAAAAUCCUCCAUCCAGCAUAAAUUGCCCUGAUCUUACCAGAUACUUUAGCAUCUUUAAGCUAUUUUCUCAAUUAAAAAAUAUUUUUACCACAAAUAAGUCAACUGAAAAUGUCAAGAAUUUUGAAUUUAUUAGCAUAACUUACAAUUUGAAGAUCUCAGAAUUUUAUGAAAAAACUACACAAAAAUAGAUAUAUACUGAAAAAAAAUUCUUCAGAAAAAUACCAGAGACACAGUUUUAGAGUUAAAAAUGUCCAAGAAUGGGAGUUCCUGUUGAGGCUCAGUGGGUUAAGAACCCGACCAGUAUCCAUGAGGACGUGGGUUCGAUCCCUAGCCUUGCUCAGUGGUUAAAGGAUUCAGUGUUGCUGUGAGCUGUGGUGUAGGUCGCAGACACGGCUCAGCUCUGGCAUUGCUGUGGCUGUGGUGUAGACUGGCGGCUGCAGCUCUGAUUCAACUCCUAGCCCAGGUACUUCCAUUUGCCACAGCUGUGGCCCUGAAAAAAAAGGCUAAGAAUGAAUAGGUGGAGCACAGAGGAUUUUUAGGGCAGUGAAACACUCUGCAUGAUACUAUAUUGAUAGAUACAUGUCCUUGUACAUUUGUUCAAACUUACAGAAUGUAGGCCACCAAGAGUGAACCUUACUAUUUAAACUAUAGACUCUAGGUGGUAACAAAGUAAUACAUGUACACUCUCAUGUGGGAGACAUUCAUGAGAGGGGAUGCCUGAAAGUGUGGGGGAAGGAGGUAUAUAUGGGAAACCUCUACACCCUUUCUUCAAUUUUGCUGUGACUACUAUUCCAGUCAUAAAAAGAGUACAGAUUUGUCAUUCGCAACAACCUUGAUGGACCUGGAGGGUAUUAUGCUUAGUGAAGUUAAGUCAAACAGAGAAGGACAAAUACUGUUUCCUCUAAUAUGUGAAAUCUAAAAAAUAAACCAAACAAAUGAAUAUAACAAAACAGAAAUACUCAGAUAUAGGAGUUCCCACUGUGACACAGUGGAAACUAAUCUGACUAGUAACCAUGAGGAUGCAGGUUUGACCCCUGGCCUAGCUAAGAGGGUCAGGGACCUGGUGUUGCCAUGAGCUGUGGUGUAGGUUGCAGAGGAGGGUUGGAGCCCAUGU
ensembl:lncRNA